CACGUAGGGUGCGAGCGUUGUCCGGAAUUAUUGGGCGUAAAGAGCUCGUAGGCGGUUUGUCGCGUCUGCUGUGAAAACGCGAGGCUCAACCUCGCGCCUGCAGUGGGUACGGGCAGACUAGAGUGCGGUAGGGGAGAUUGGAAUUCCUGGUGUAGCGGUGGAAUGCGCAGAUAUCAGGAGGAACACCGAUGGCGAAGGCAGAUCUCUGGGCCGUUACUGACGCUGAGGAGCGAAAGCGUGGGGAGCGAACAGG
rnacentral:rRNA from 1 species